GAACGCUGCGGCGCGCUUAACACAUGCAAGUCGCGCGUGAAGGACUUCGGUCCGAGUAAAGCGGCGCACGGGUGAGUAACGCGUGGAUGAUCUACCCAUGAGUUAGGAAUAACGGCUGGAAACGGUCGCUAACACCAAAUACGCUCCGAUUUCAACUUCGGGGGAAAGGUGGCCUCUGCUUGCAAGCUACUGCUCAUGGAUGAGUCCGCGUCCCAUUAGCUAGUUGGUGGGGUAACGGCCCACCAAGGCGACGAUGGGUAGCCGGUCUGAGAGGAUGACCGGCCACACUGGGACUGGAACACGGCCCAGACUCCUACGGGAGGCAGCAGUGGGGAAUAUUGCGCAAUGGGCGAAAGCCUGACGCAGCGACGCCGCGUGAGGGAUGAAGGUCCUCGGAUCGUAAACCUCUGUCAGGAGGGAAGAACCGCCACGGUGCUAAUCAGCCGUGGUCUGACGGUACCUCCAAAGGAAGCACCGGCUAACUCCGUGCCAGCCGCAGC
rnacentral:rRNA from 1 species